AUAAGAUGGCUGAAUUAAGGCGAUAAACUGUAAAUUUAUUUAUGAAUUUAAAUUCUCUUAUCAA
rnacentral:tRNA from 1 species